AUUGAACGCUGGCGGCAGGCCUAACACAUGCAAGUCGAACGGUAACAGGAAGAAGCUUGCUUCUUUGCUUACGAGUGGCGGACGGGUGAGUAAUGUCUGGGAAACUGCCUGAUGGCGGGGGAUAACUACUGGAAACGGUAGCUAAUACCGCAUAACGUCGCAAGACUAAAGAUGGGGACCUUCGGGCCUCUUGCCAUCGGAUGUGCCCAGAUGGGAUUAGCUAGUAGGUGGGUUAACGGCUUACCUAGGCAACGAUCCCUAGCUGAUCUGAGAGGAUGACCGGCCACACUGGAACUGAGACACGGUCCAGACUCCUACGGGAGGCAGCAGUGGGGAAUAUUGCACAAUGGGCGAAAGCCUGAUGGAGCAAUGCCGCGUGUGUGAAGAAGGUCUUCGGAUCGUAAAGCACUGUUAUCGGGGAGGAACAGAUGUGUGAGUAAAUGUGCACUUAUUGACGGUACCUGCAGAAAAAGCAACGGCUAACUACGUG
rnacentral:rRNA from 1 species